rnacentral:rRNA from 1 species
UUUCCUACGGGGCGCAGCAGUGGGGAAUAUUGGGCAAUGGGCGCAAGCCUGACCCAGCAACGCCGCGUGAAGGAAGAAGGCUUUCGGGUUGUAAACUUCUUUUAAGAGGGAAGAGCAGAAGACGGUACCUCUUGAAUAAGCCACGGCUAACUACGUGCCAGCAGCCGCGGUAAUACGUAGGUGGCAAGCGUUAUCCGGAUUUAUUGGGUGUAAAGGGCGUGUAGGCGGGAAUGCAAGUCAGAUGUGAAAACUAUGGGCUCAACCCAUAGCCUGCAUUUGAAACUGUAUUUCUUGAGUGCUGGAGG